rnacentral:lncRNA from 1 species
AGAGCCCCGCCACUGAACAGCCGACGGGGAGGAGCCCUCCGCAGAGCCCGUGGAGGACCACCAGCACCUGAGGGACCAGAAAGGGGGGGGGUAGAGAGCACCAGGGAUGACAAGCGGAGGUAGGGCAAGGAAUGGUAGGAGGUAGGGCAAGGAAUGGUAGGAGGUAGGGCAAGGAAUGGUAGGAGGUAGGGCAAGGAAUGGUAGGAGGUAGGGCAAGGAAUGGUAGGAGGUAGGGCAAGGAAUGGUAGGAGGUAGGGUCAGGAAUGGCAGGAGGUAGGGUCAGGAAUGGCAGGAGGUAGGGUCAGGAAUGGUAGGAGGUAGGGUAAGGAAUGGUAGGAGGUAGGGUAAGGAAUGGUAGGAGGUAGGGUAAGGAAUGGCAGGAGGUAGGGUAAGGAAUGGUAGGAGGUAGGGCAAGGAAUGGUAGGAGGUAGGGCAAGGAAUGGUAGGAGGUAGGGUCAGGAAUGGUAGGAGGUAGGGUCAGGAAUGGUAGGAGGUAGGGCCAGGAAUGGUAGGAGGUAGGGCCAGGAAUGGCAGGAGGUAGGGUAAGGAAUGGUAGGAGGUAGGGUAAGGAAUGGUAGGAGGUAGGGUAAGGAAUGGUAGGAGG